rnacentral:lncRNA from 1 species
GAUGUUUUAUCAAUUCAAGCUUCAACUGUUGCAUCGGAGAGCGCUUUCAAUCAAGCAGGACUACAAAUCGGUGAUCAUAGAGUGGCGAUGAGGGAGAGCUUGGAAAAAUCAGAAUCCGCGCGGAAAGAAGAAACUUUGGAAUUGCAGAAUCACAACCGGCAAUAGAUGAAGCAUAUAAAGAAAGAUAGCGGAACUUUCGGAGGAUUCGGCUUCGCCCGGAAGUGGUGAUAAACAAGCUUUGUUUCCACCACCACCAACACAACCUCCUCCCAACCUUGACGGAUUUAUGAGAUNN